GCUGGAGAGGGGAAGCGGCCCCGAGGCAGGCUGGGAGAUGUAGUUCCUGACUCUCCCUGGAGCGGAAGUGACAUCGGCGGGAGGCGGAGCCGCGCUACGAAGGACCCUUGGGCGCUCCGGCUCUGCCUGGCUCGCGCGGGGCCGUUGGAGCCUCUCCCGGGACAGGAGAAGGUUUGUGCCAGAAUCCUGACUGCAAGCACUGCCAGGCAGUCCCCGGCCAGACCCAGUUACUGUGAUAACUUUCUAUCCACUUGUCAAACACUGUGAGCCAACGUGAUGACUUUCUCUAGCUCGUACUAGCCCCUUGUGGGAGACCUGGGCCCUGUUAAUACAAAUUCUACCAGAGACUCCAGGUAACUGAAAGACCUCAGGGAAAGUGCUGGGGUCUGGCAAGAAAGUGACUCUGCCCAAACAGUCCUUCCUCAUUUCUCCUCCCAUUAGCAAUUGCCAGGAGCAAAUCCAGCCAUGGGAGAGCAAAGCCCCCAGGAAUGGGACGUUCCCAGCCAGAGGGGCCAGGGAGAGAGGACAGGGGAAGGAGAGACUGAAAGGGGCAGUGGGAGAAAUGAAUUGGGGGGAGAGAUUUCCAGCUCUCUGGUCCACCCAGACACAUGUAUUGCUGCAUCCCUGGGCAGAACCACUUUCCAGUGAACAAAACAAAGAUCAGAGAGAGGAAAAGCCAGUUCCUGAUUCCAUAUUCCCCUGCUGGGCUGUGGCUGCGGUGGGGUCAGUGUCCGAGGGAAUCCUCCACAGUGACUCCUUUGGUUCUGCUCUUUUCUAGCCUUGUGUUCAGAGACUUUGUUAUGGGGUGAGGGGAGGGAGAAGGGAGAUUAAAAAUGUCUCUGUGGGCUUAGCCUGGCAGCAGGGGCCAGGUCUACAGUGUAAUAACAUGCUUGUUCUCUUUCCCAGCAUGGCAGAAUCUAGGAUGUCUGUCUGCAGGGAAGGGCCUGGGAGAAUCAUCUUGUGAAAUUAACUAAAGCCUGUUCUGAAACCCCCACAACUGCCCUUCUCCCCCAGACAGGCUGGAGAAUGACGUCCAUGUUUCGCUCUAGCUCAUCCCAUCCUCCCAUGGGAGAGGGAAGAGAAAUGGGUGCAGAGGAGCCUGUUAAGAGGCCGGUGACCUUUGAGGAGGUGGCUGUGUAUUUCACCA